rnacentral:misc_RNA from 1 species
AUUCAGCCCUGUGUCGCUCAGAUUCGUCCCUCCCCCUUUUAUAACUCUAGACUUUGGAGUCCUGAGGUUACUAGAGUGUUUGGUAGUCACACUCUUGGUCUUUUUGGCCGUUUCCAUCAACACUAGUGCGCCCAUAUGAUGUGUCAUGCCCCCUGCGGACAUGUAAGGCGAAGUCUUGGUCGGCUAACUUACCAAGUUGGCCAAGUGUUCAACCGAGGAACACAGGCCAUGGGAAGUGGGUGCUUGGUGCUCAUGUGUUUUCUUAAGCGACCUUUCCUUUCGUGUUUUGAAGUGAGGUUAACAAGCACACAUCUUGUAUUGGGGAAUGAUAGGCGGCGCUGGUGCUUGCACGAUGAGCCACGCGCCAAGUGGGUGGGUGGUUGGUGGCUGGAUGUUAGGCGGAGGUUUGCUUUUGUGAUCUCAAGUGAGGUUAACAUGUCCCUUUUGGCCUUGCUCUUCUGAUCUCAAGUGAGGUUAACAUGUCCCUUUUGGCCUUGCUCUUCUGAUCUCAAGUGAGGUUAACACGUCCCUUUUGGCCUUGCUCUUGUGACCUCAAGUGAGGUUAACACGUCCCUUUUGGCCUUGCUCUUCUGAUCUCAAGUGAGGUUAACACCUCCCUUUUGGCCUUGCUCUUGUGACCUCAAGUGAGGUUAACACCUCCCUUUUGGCCUUGCUCUUGUGACCUCAAGUGAGGUUAACACAUCCCCCCACUGCCAUUCAAUUAGUGAUUUCAAGUGAGGCUAACCUUUCACCUUGUUGGAUUGUGGGUCAUGUAAAUUUUUUGUUUGUUUGAAGUGAGGUUAACAUGUUCCUUGUAGCCUUGUUGUUAUGUGUGUCACGUAAAUCUCAAGCGAGUUUAUUCAUUCAUCCUUUUGCUUUCCAAUCAUUCACUCUCUCUAUCCCCAUCUCUCACACCCUACUGUUAUUAAUCAAAUCUACGCCGUAAAGUAGGAAUGGUUUUUAGUGUCCAAGUUUUUUUUUUGGUUCGUUCAAGAUUGACUCAUUUGAUAUCUUCAGUUUAUAACAAUAAGUUACAAAACCUCAUUUCUUUAUCUGUUCACGAUUGCUUCAUUUUAUAACAUUAAAUGACAACACCACGUUUCUUAUUAUGUGGAAGAUUGUUUCAUUUUAUAACAUGUUCGUUAUUCAUUUUAUAAAGAUUUACUUGGGACGAUUUUUAUUGUUGAAUAUUCUUUUGUCUCGAUCAAGAUUGGUUCAUUUGAUGUAUUCAUUUCAAAACUACAAAUUACAAUAACACAUUUCUUUUGAAUCAUUCUACAACAUAUUGUUCACCAUGUGCAUGCACCACGCGGGGUGCUCAUGGGUGCACUUGGUGGUUGGCAUGAGAAAUAACAAUGUGGAUGCACAACGUGUGGUGCUCAUGUGUGAUGCCAUUGAUAUUUCUCAAUGUUCGUGCCGGAGGCUAGGUGCACACCAUCCGCACGCACGUGGGGUGCUCAUGUGUGCACUUGGCGGAUGGCAUGUGUGCACCAAUCACCAUGUCCGUGCACUUGGCGGAUGGCAUGUGUGCACCAAUCAUCAUGUGCGUGCACUUGGCGGAUGGCAUGUGCAUGAACGACGCAUGCUUAUGUGUGCACUUGUGGGUGGAUUGAGUUUCACAAUGUUGAUCCGGGGUGCUCAUGUGUGCACUGGGCGGAUGGCAUGUGUGCACCAAUCAUCAUGUGCAUGAACUGGGCGGAUGGCAUGUGUGCACCAAUCAACAUGUGCAUGUGCAUGAACGAUGCAUGCACCACAUGGGGGGUGCUCAUGUGUGCACUUGUGGGUGUGUUGAGUUUCACAAUGUGGAUCCGGGGUGCCCAUGUGUGCACUUGGUGGAUGGCAUGUGUGCACCAAUCAACAUGUGCAUGUGCAUGCACGAUGCAUGCACCACGUGGGCACACCUCUUGGUAGCCGGUGCCCAAAUUUUUUUUUUUCCAUUUUUUUUCUCCCGAAACCACCCACACAUGCUCCCAAAAAUUAUAAUAUAUACUUCCCAACCACCCAUUGCCAUUGGAAUUGUGUUUUUGCCCGAUUUUCCAUUUUUUCAAUAUUUUAAUAUUUUAAUUAUUUAAAAAAAUUGUAAAAAAAUAAUUAUUUUUAUUUUUUGUGUUUUAAAUUCAUAGACCCCUUCUUUACAUUAAAACAACCAUGCACACAAAAUUUCGUUCAAUUUGGACUCAUAUUCUUCAAUUUAUGCUAAAAUAUGUCUCCCAAGCAAAAAUCAUAUAUGUUCCUGGCAGGCACCUUUUUCCUCAGAAUGCUCCUUAGGGAGCUUCGGGGGGUCCGAAGUUGACGUGAGGGGGUGGGUCUGGUGGGCACCGUGGGUGCAUACCAGGCCCAUUUUCAGCGUCUUUUUGUGUUUUCACACUUAGCGGUGCGGCCAUGGGGCUUCUUGGUGCGUGUGUAUGCUUCUUUGACCAUGUUGUCACUGAGUGUGCAUUCGUGUUGGGUUGAACUGUGUCUAGCGUACGUGAUAGUGUGUGAGUGGUGAUUGGUUGUUUGUGUUGGUUGGCUUGGUGCUUGUGCAUCGAACUAUGAACACUCCUACCGCCUUCAGUGUUGCUACAAGAGCGCUGCUCAUUUUGAGCGCAACGUUCGGUUUCCUGUGUUGACUACCUCUGAUGGAAUGAUUCAUUUAGCUGCCCCUUUCCUCCUUUGUGGCUGUUAUGGCUGCAGGGGGGACCUCGUAGCAGUCCUUGAGUCCCGAACGUGCCUCUACAAUUUGUUGGGGUCGUUUUGGUCCUUGAGUGCCUGCUUGUUCUCUCGGAUGCGGAAAGUUAUGAGAGUGUGGGGGUCUAUGAUCUUCGAACGCUCAAAAUUUUCCAUGAAAACGGAUGACGAUGGCAGAUGCAUCAAGCGCCUGACCGAUAGGCCAGUGUGCUUGUGCACUUUGCCGCGUCCCGAAUGAAUGC